GAGCAGAGCCCCUCUUGAAGAACAGGAAGCGCGCCAUGUCAGCUUGGGCACUGAUGAUUUUCAGCUUGGAGCUACUGUUGACCUCCUGAGGGAGAAGAAAAGGCAAACUGGGAUGGAAAACUAGUUGCUGGUCAGACCACAAAUACAAUCAAUCACUGGGAGAAGAAGUCAGGAACUAUCUUUUGGAGAUCCGCCAGCGUUCAAGUCCUGCCACUGAACUCACCAUCGAGUUCUGAAUCCUUGCAGCAGUCAGUGGGUAGAGCAAGCCAGUUAUACUGGAGCCAUACUGGAGCCAUACUGGAGAGGAAUCAACUAGGAUCUCCAGAUGAAGGUGGGAUGCAGGGGGGAAGAUCUUAAUCUAGAGGAUUUCAAACAGGUUACACAACCUCCCCCAGGAUCUGCAACCAUCCAGAGUCAGAUAACCCCAGUUCCCAGCAUUUGCACCAUGUACAGUAAAACCCGGAAUUAUUCAUACCCCUGGCAAAUUUUGACAAAUAGGUUUAUUUCAUCAGGAACACAUGCAGCUGUUCUCUCAGCGACCCGUCCCUCUAUAAGCAUGAUCCCCACAUCUCUUGGUGCUCAGGAGACAUAACCUCAUGGAACUUGUCCUGCUUCACUAAAUGCUUGCAGCUGCCUGCAUACUCCACUUUGGUAGAAAGCCUUGAAACUGACUCCAAAUUCCAUAUUCCCCUGAUUACCAGGAUGUACUCAGCAAACCCAAUGCCACCAAACUGAUGUAUGGAGCACAGCGAUAUGAACGAUAUCUUUAGAUGCAUAGUUUUGAAAGUUAAUUAUCGAGAUAUAUUCAUUUUGUUAGGUUCCACAGAGAUUUUGCAAGCUCAGUAUGCAGUAUGCAAUUUCUGUGCAUUGGCUAUUCAUCUUAAAUGCACUCCUUAUUGUGACUAGAUUUCAAUUUAACUUCACUGCAGAAACAAUGACAGAGACGGAGUGAAAAGCCAGUAGUGCUGUCACAGAUAUUUUAGUCCCAAAAAAAGGUACAAAUCCUACACAUGUUGUUUGGAAAUGGUUUGGCUUUAGAGUGAGUGAUACAGAACAAAACAGUGUUAUCUGAAACCUUUGUAAGCGGGAAGUUGGAACAAAGACCAACAUAUAGCUUUCACUUUAUAAAUAAGUGAAAGAAUCUAAUUUUCUGAUGUAAAAGAUGCGGGCAGCCAGUGAGGGUUACACGGGUUUGGUGCGAUAUGAUCUGUUUUCUUACUUGUUAAUAUUCUGACAGCAGCAUUCUGAAUUAUUUGUAAAUUAUUUGUAGUUGUUUUUAGCAAACCUGUAAAGGAAAAUACAAAAAAGGAAAAGUCAAAGUGAUUUGUGAUAAAGGCAUGUAUCAAUUUUUCAGCAUCAGUACAUGGUAAAAGAUCCAAUCUUUGGCAUGUUCCUCAGAUGAUAAAAUGCUGUCUCUGGA